AAGAAGCCCAGGACCAAAGCACCCAAGAUC
rnacentral:piRNA from 1 species